CAAAGUGUAGCUUAUAUAAAGCAUCUGGCCUACACCCAGAAGAUUCCAUAAAACAGUGGCCACUUUGA
rnacentral:tRNA from 1 species